rnacentral:rRNA from 1 species
AGAUCCUACGGGAGGCAGCAGUGGGGAAUAUUGCACAAUGGGCGGAAGCCUGAUGCAGCAACGCCGCGUGCGGGAUGAAGGCCUUCGGGUUGUAAACCGCUUUCGCCUGUGACGAAGCGUGAGUGACGGUAAUGGGUAAAGAAGCACCGGCUAACUACGUGCCAGCAGCCGCGGUGAUACGUAGGGUGCGAGCGUUGUCCGGAUUUAUUGGGCGUAAAGGGCUCGUAUGUGGUUGAUCGCGUCGGAAGUGUAAUCUUGGGGCUUAACCCUGAGCGUGCUUUCGAUACGGGUUGACUUGAGGAAGGUAGGGGAGAAUGGAAUUCCUGGUGGAGCGGUGGAAUGCGCAGAUAUCAGGAGGAACACCAGUGGCGAAGGCGGUUCUCUGGGCCUUUCCUGACGCUGAGGAGCGAAAGCGUGGGGAGCGAACAGGCUUAGAUACCCUGGUAGUCCACGCUGUAAACGGUGGGUACUAGGUGUGGGGUCCAUUCCACGGGUUCCGUGCCGUAGCUAACGCUUUAAGUACCCCGCCUGGGGAGUACGGCCGCAAGGCUAAAACUCAAAUGAAUUGACGGGG